GCAAGUCGAGGGGCAGCAUGUCCAGCAAUGGGUGAUGGCGACCGGCGGAAGGGUGCGUAACGCGUGAGCAACAUGCCCUAUACAGGGAGAUACACCAGGGAAACUUGGUCUAAUAUCCCAUAGCAUUCAUUGAAGGCAUCUUUAAUGAAUUAAAGCUUCGGUGGUAUAGGAUUGGCUCGCGUGACAUUAGCCAGAUGGUGAGGUAACGGCUCACCAUAGCAAUGAUGUCUAGGGGUUUUGAGAGGAAGGCCCCCCACACUGGGACUGAGACACGGCCCAGACUCCUACGGGAGGCAGCAGUGAGGAAUAUUGGACAAUGGAUGGAAAUCUGAUCCAGCCAUGCCGCGUGCAGGAAGACGGCCUUAUGGGUUGUAAACUGCUUUUAUACGGGAGCAAUAAGGGUUACGAGUAAUCCGAUGAGAGUACUGUAUGAAUAAGGAUCGGCUAACUCCGUGCCAGCAGCCGCGGUAAUACGGAGGAUCCGAGCGUUAUCCGGAAUUAUUGGGUUUAAAGGGUGCGUAGGCGGCCAUUUAAGUCAGCGGUGAAAUUUUGCAGCUUAACUGUAACAGUGCCGUUGAUACUGUUUGGCUAGGAUUUGGUUGUAGUGUGCGGAAUGUGUGGUGUAGCGGUGAAAUGCUUAGAUAUCACACAGAACACCGAUUGCGAAGGCAGCACACUAAGUCAUUAUUGACGCUGAGGCACGAAAGUGUGGGGAUCAAACAGGAUUAGAUACCCUGGUAGUCCACACUGUAAACGAUGAUAACUCGCUGUCGGCGAUACACAGUCGGGGCCAAGCGAAAGC
rnacentral:rRNA from 1 species